rnacentral:rRNA from 1 species
GACGAACGCUGGCGGCGUGCUUAACACAUGCAAGUCGAACGGAAAGGCCCUGCUUUUGUGGUGUGCUCGAGUGGCGAACGGGUGAGUAACACGUGAGUAACCUGCCCUUGACUUUGGUAUAACUUCAGGAAACUGGGGCUAAUACCGUAUAGGAGCUCCUGCUGCAUGGUGGGGGUUGGAAAUUUUCGGCGGUUGGGGAUGGACUCGCGGCUUAUCAGCUUGUUGGUGGGGUAGUGGCUUACCAAGGCUUUGACGGGUAGCCGGCCGGAGAGGGUGACCGGCCACAUUGGGACUGAGAGACGGACCAGACUCCUACGGGAGGCAGCAGUGGGGAAUAUUGCACAAUGGGCGGAAGCCUGAUGAAGCAACGCCGCGUGCGGGAUGACGGCCUUCGGGUUGUAAAACGCUUUCGCCUGUGACGAAGCGUGAGUGACGGUAAUGGGUAAAGAAGCACCGGCUAACUACGUG